CCCAGACUCCUACGGGAGGCAGCAGUGGGGAAUAUUGGGCAAUGGGCGCAAGCCUGACCCAGCAACGCCGCGUGAAGGAAGAAGGCUUUCGGGUUGUAAACUUCUUUUGUCAGGGACGAAGCAAGUGACGGUACCUGACGAAUAAGCCACGGCUAACUACGUGCCAGCAGCCGCGGUAAUACGUAGGUGGCAAGCGUUAUCCGGAUUUAUUGGGUGUAAAGGGCGUGUAGGCGGGAAUGCAAGUCAGAUGUGAAAACUAUGGGCUCAACCCAUAGCCUGCAUUUGAAACUGUAUUUCUUGAGUGCUGGAGAGGCAAUCGGAAUUCCUAGUGUAGCGGUGAAAUGCGUAGAUAUUAGGAGGAACACCAGUGGCGAAGGCGGCUUACUGGACUGUAACUGACGUUGAGGCUCGAAAGCGUGGGGAGCAAACAGGAUUAGAUACCCUUGUAGG
rnacentral:rRNA from 1 species